rnacentral:lncRNA from 1 species
GUUUGCAAUGAGUUAAGUAGGAUCAUUGUUUCUGGGGCUGUUCAUAUCCCCAGACUUUUCACAGCCCUGGCAGAGGCUGACUCUGUAAUAAGUCUCACAUUACACAUGGAUUAGAUUUGUAGAAAUCCUGUAACUCAAUAGGUACCUGCCUAUUCUCUCCUGGCGUCAGGCUGCCUGCACUACUUUGCUCUGUAGACAUACCUGGCAUUCCACCCGUGCCUCCUCGCUGGCUAAGUGGGCUGGAGCCUGCCUACCAAAACAUUGGGGUAUUGUUGGGAAGCGGAGACCCCCUUGACAGACGAGCGAAGUGUGAAGAUCUGCAGAAACAUUUGGGAGUAGCAGGGGGUGGAGAUGCACUGUAGACAUGGAUAAAGCCAGUCCGACCCCGAGCCCUUCCGGCUUCCCCCCAGCUGCCACCAUCAUGUUUGUUUACACUAAUGGAGGAAGACAACAAAAACAUAUUUGGCAAUGCAUCAAGAAUGUGAAAUUACUUGAUUUCUGGGAACUUUGCCAGUUCAUCAUCUCAUCCUGGAAGAUAAUGAAGACUCCUAGUGAUCUCAUGAAGAUGUGUAUGAUUCUAACAACCUACUAACAACUUUUAACAUUAAAUGUUAAUAAAGCCUAAAGGUCACAUUAAUAUUAAGAGAUC